GUCCACGCCGUAAACUAUGGGUGCUAGCCGUCGGUCGGCAUGCCGGUCGGUGGCGCAGCAAACGCAUUAAGCACCCCGCCUGGGGAGUACGGUCGCAAGAUUAAAACUCAAAGGAAUUGACGGGGGCCCGCACAAGCGGUGGAGCAUGUGGUUUAAUUCGAGGCAACGCGAAGAACCUUACCAGCCCCUUGACUUCCCCGGUCGGGACUCCGGAGACGGAGCUCUUCAAUUGGCCGGUGACAGGUGCUGCAUGGCUGUCGU
rnacentral:rRNA from 1 species